GGGGAGAUGGCUCAGAGGUUUAGAGCACUGGCUGUCCUUCCAGAGGACCUGAGUUCAAGUCCCAGACCCCA
rnacentral:tRNA from 1 species